rnacentral:rRNA from 1 species
GAUGAACGCUGGCGGCGUGCCUAAUACAUGCAAGUCGAGCGAACGGACGAGAAGCUUGCUUCUCUGAUGUUAGCGGCGGACGGGUGAGUAACACGUGGAUCACCUACCUAUAAGACUGGGAUAACUUCGGGAAACCGGAGCUAAUACCGGAUAAUAUUUUGAACCGCAUGGUUCAAAAGUGAAAGACGGUCUUGCUGUCACUUAUAGAUGGAUCCGCGCUGCAUUAGCUAGUUGGUAAGGUAACGGCUUACCAAGGCAACGAUGCAUAGCCGACCUGAGAGGGUGAUCAGCCACACUGGAACUGAGACACGGUCCAGACUCCUACGGGAGGCAGCAGUAGGGAAUCUACCGCAAUGGGCGAAAGCCUGACGGAGCAACGCCGCGUGAGUGAUGAAGGUCUUCGGAUCGUAAAACUCUGUUAUUAGGGAAGAACAUAUGUGUAAGUAACUGUGCACAUCUUGACGGUACCAAAUCAGAAAGCCACGGCUAACUACGUG